rnacentral:rRNA from 1 species
AUGUGGACCUGUCUUCGUCAGCGCUAUGAGCCCUCUGGUGAUGCCUUAUAUCUUUCUGUGGUUCGUCAGGAGCAUGCUCUUCAGCAGGGUGACUCUACUGUUGAUGACUUUUAUGCACAGAGUUCUGCUAUCUGGCGCCAGCUUGAUUCUCUCCGCAGUGCUGGUUGUCGUACUUGCCCCUGCUGCCAGGCUGUCCAGGCCGAUGAGUUUCAUCGCGUCUACGAGUUCCUGUCUCGGCUUCGUAAGGAGUUUGAGCCCCGGCGUGCUCAGUUGUUUGCUCGUGGCCGUAUUUCUCUCAUGGAGGCGCUCUCCGAGAUUCGUGCUGAGGAGACUCGCCUACGUGGUGCUGGUUUGCUGGAGGUUCCCUCUGUGCUCGCUACUCGGGUUUCUUCCACUCCACCUGCUGCACCGCCCCAUUCUCGCUCGAGUGCUCCGCCGCUCUUGCCCACUCCUUCUGGAGGCUCAGGUCGGCCCCGUUCACAUUGUGACUACUGCAACAAUGAUGGUCAUAUUGCGUCCCAGUGCUAUACAAAGCGGAAACACCUGCGCAAGGCGCGAUCAUCCUCCUCAGGGCCUUCGUCA